rnacentral:rRNA from 1 species
UACGAACGGUCCAAACGUUAUUCGGAAUCACUGGGCUUAAAGCGUCCGUAGGCGGCUCGGAAAGUAGGGUGUGAAAUCCCACGGCUCAACCGUGGAAUUGCGCCUCUAAACUAUCGAGCUAGAGGGAGAUAGAGGUGAGCGGAACUGAUGGUGGAGCGGUGAAAUGCGUUGAUAUCAUCAGGACACCGGAGGCGAAAGGCGGCUCACUGGGGUCUUUUCUGACGCUGAGGGACGAAAGCUAGGGGAGCGAACGGG